rnacentral:lncRNA from 11 species
UAGCUCUAUGGGCUCUUGAGCUUUCCUUUCAGUUUGUUUAUAAUGAUGAGCCGGCUAGACAAAACAAAAGUUUUUCAAGGUCAAAAAAAUGGCUGUCUUUGGGGCUUCUGCAAGAACUGUGGAUUUGGAGCCCGGUGUGGCAAGCUUUCCAGAAAACCAGAUAAGACACACAUGGGUUAAAGGCAAAAUCAGAGGCUUUAUUCUCAGUGGCCAAAGAGAUAUCAGUGGAAGCAGCACUUCAAAGAACAUACCUCAAUGAAAAUAUACAAAAUAUUUC